rnacentral:rRNA from 1 species
CGGUAGGGGGCAAGCGUUGUCCGGUAUUUAUUGGGCGUAAAGAGCGUGUAGGCGGCCAGGUAGGUCAGCUGUAGAAAACUCGAGGCUCAACCUCGAGACGCCGGUUGAAACCAUCUGGCUAGAGUCCGGAAGAGGAGAGUGGAAUUCCUGGUGUAGCGGUGAAAUGCGCAGAUAUCAGGAAGAACACCCGUGGCUAAGGCGGCUCUCUAGUACGGUACUGACGCUGAGACGCGAAAGCGUGGGGAGCGAACAGGAUUAGAUACCCUGGUAGUCCACGCCGUAAACGAUGGGUGCUAGGUGCGGGGGGUGUCGACUCCCUCCGUGCCGCAGCUAACGCAUUAAGCACCCCGCCUGGGGAGUACGGCCGCAAGGCUA